AGUGAACGCUGGCGGUAGGCCUAACACAUGCAAGUCGAACGGCAGCACAGUAAGAGCUUGCUCUUACGGGUGGCGAGUGGCGGACGGGUGAGGAAUACAUCGGAAUCUACAUUUUCGUGGGGGAUAACGUAGGGAAACUUACGCUAAUACCGCAUACGACCUACGGUUGAAAGCAGGGGAUCUUCGGACCUUGCGCGAAUGAAUGAGCCGAUGUCGGAUUAGCUAGUUGGCGGGGUAAAGGCCCACCAAGGCGACGAUCCGUAGCUGGUCUGAGAGGAUGAUCAGCCACACUGGAACUGAGACACGGUCCAGACUACUAAGGGAGGCAGCAGUGGGGAAUAUUGGACAAUGGGCGCAAGCCUGCUCCAGCCAUACCGAGUGGGUGAAGAAGGCCUUCGGGUUGUAAAGCCCUUUUGUUGGGAAAGAAAAGCAGCAGGUUAAUACCCCGCUGUUCUGACGGUACCCAAAGAAUAAGCACCGGCUAACUUCGUG
rnacentral:rRNA from 1 species